rnacentral:rRNA from 1 species
UAGGGAAUCUUCGGCAAUGGACGAAAGUCUGACCGAGCAACGCCGCGUGAGUGAAGAAGGUUUUCGGAUCGUAAAACUCUGUUGUUAGAGAAGAACAAGGGUGAGAGUAGAAAGUUCACCCCUUGACGGUAUCUAACCAGAAAGCCACGGCUAACUACGUGCCAGCAGCCGCGGUAAUACGUAGGUGGCAAGCGUUGUCCGGAUUUAUUGGGCGUAAAGCGAGCGCAGGCGGUUUCUUAAGUCUGAUGUGAAAGCCCCCGGCUCAACCGGGGAGGGUCAUUGGAAACUGGGAGACUUGAGUGCAGAAGAGGAGAGUGGAAUUCCAUGUGUAGCGGUGAAAUGCGUAGAUAUAUGGAGGAACACCAGUGGCGAAGGCGACUCUCUGGUCUGUAACUGACGCUGAGGCUCGAAAGCGUGGGGAGCAAACA